rnacentral:rRNA from 1 species
AAUAGCUACUUGCAUCAUUGUAAAUAUGAUGCAAGAUCGACUAUGUCGAAUAAAAUUCUAGGUAGAAUUAUGAUAAUGACAUUGUCUGCCUAUGUGUCUUGACCAAAUUACGUGCCAGCAGUCGCGGUAAUACGUAGAAGACUAGUGUUAUUCAUGUUUAAUCGGUUUAAAGGGUACCUAGACGGUAAAUCAAGCCUAAAAGGAAAGAAAUGAAGGGACUAAUUUACUAGAGUUACUUAUGAGGGGGUAUUAAAGUACUGCUGGUGUAGAGAUGAAAUUCUGUCAUACCUCUUUUCAAUAGAAAAAUAAUGGCACAGGUAUAGGCGAAAGCAUCCCCUUAUGUGAUAACUGACGUUGAGGGACGAAGGCUUUGUGUAGCGAACAGGAUUAGAUACCCCAGUAGUCAAAGCAGAAAAUGAUGAAUGUCAUAGAUUAGAUAUAUAAGUUUAUUCUAUAAAUGAAAGUGUAAGCAUUCCACCUCAAGAGUAAUUUGGCAACAUUGGAACUGAAAUCAUUAGACCGUUUCUGAAACCAGUAGUGAAGUAUGUUGUUUAAUUUGAUGAUCCGCAAAAAACCUUACCACAAUUUGAAUAUUUAUAUCUUAUAUUGUUUUUUUUUUAACUUUAUUCUAAUUUUCUACUUAAAAGAAAACAAUAACAAGAAAAAAGAGACAAUAAGAUCUC